GUGCUCUCUUUGCAGCAUAUAUACGAAAAAAUUGGAAUGAUACAGAGAUUAAUGUGACCUCUGCACAACGAUGCCAUGUAAAUUUAUGAAAUAGUUCAUAUUUAU
rnacentral:snRNA from 1 species